GCGGGGAGGGGUCAGGGGACCUUGGACCAGGAUCUCUGACUAAGCCUGAGUCAGGGCUGCCUUCCCCUGGUCCCCACCUGCCCUCACAGGCCACUGAGCCGCCUCUCCUGGCUCAGCCUCUCCCACUGUUGCCCCCACCCUCAACUCCUUUCGUGAUUUCCUCAUCCUUCAUAAAGUCCAGGCUGUCCCCCGGACAGUGCCCUGCACCCAACCCCUCCCACCGACUGGCUCCCAUCCUCAUCCUCCCAGCCUGUCCUUCUCCUGCCCCACUGCCUCUCCAUACUCCUGUUCCUUGGUGCUCCCGAUGGCCUCUAACUGUCCUUCAAACCCAGCCCAGUAGCAGGUCCUUCCAAAGGCUUCCUGCCACCCUUUCCCUUCCCUGGGUAGGUAUAGAACCCCCUCACCCUGGCCUCCUCCACCCCAGGCCCCCUUCCUCCCAAGAGGCCAUGACUACAUCUCACAUCUGUAUUUUUGUGCCUGGCAUAGAACAGGAAAGGAAUGAGAAUUUCACUGAGCACCUACUAUGUGCGGGCCACUGUUAUGAAGGUCGUCACAAGGAAUCUUGACAACAAACCAUGACAUGGUAUUGUCUCACUUUUACAAGAACUUGAUUGGCCAGCGCGAGAGACCCUAUGACCUCAGGCUCCAGAGAUGGCUCUGCAAAGCAAACCCACCAUGACUACUGGUCAGUGACUCACUUCUCCCAGGAGCCCACCCCAGGGCUGAGCGCUCCUUCACUCGGCCUCCCUUAGCCCUUGCUCCAGUCUCUCUGCGGCUGGGGUGAGUGUUCCAGUGAAGAAGUGUGUGGAGCACACACGCCUGCUGCUCACGUUCCUGCCCACGUGUGCAUGUGCGCACGCAUGUGGGGCCUAUGUGUCUCUUUCUCUGAGACCCAUUCGAGAUCUGCAGGCGGCUCGGGCCCCUCCCAGGCUGUUGCAGCCAGAUGCACCUCGGGCUCCACCCAUCAUCCUGGGAAAACAUGCCCCUGCUGAAUUCAGAGAAUGCUCCAGAAGGAUUCAGGAAAUGAGGACCAUUCAUGAACACAGUGACGGAUGCAGAGCAUCUGCCUUGCAUCCACUGCCAAACUAACCCUAAGACAACCUCCAGAGCAGGGCAGGAGGCAGUUGAUAGAGAUUUAUUUCUCCACUUAGUUGUCUCUGUUUGUGGCCUCCUCCCAUGAGUGGGACCAGGAGAAACCCCUGUCUCUGAUGAAGGCAGAGGAUGAACAAUGAACCAAACCCACGCUGCUCAGCACAUCUGAUGGGGCCAGAAACACAGACUGCAAAGGCUGAGAAAGCCUCUCAGGGGUCGUCCGGCUGUGUGGGUGUGAAGACCUGGCUGCACUUAGAAUCAUCUGGGAAGGCUUACAAAUAUGGAUUCUGAGUCUCACCCCCAAGGAUUCUGACUUGGUAAAUGAAAACUCA